UCCCUUUUGAUUCUCGCAGAACCAUGACUUUGCUGGCUUGUCUGCAGGAUGUGAAGAAUUGGCUGGCUCACAUUUUUUUAAAUUGAAUGAAGACAAAGCCGAACUUGUUGUAUUUGGCCAUCCCAAUUCCCCAUCAUCCACUGACUGUG